UCCCUGAGUAGCGGCGAGCGAAACGGGAACAGCCCAAACCAAGAGGCGUGCCUCUUGGGGUUGUAGGACCGCUCAUUGUGGGAGUGAGAAAGGAACGGGGUAGACGAACCGGUCUGGAACGGCCGGCCAGAGAAGGUGACAGCCCUGUAGUCGAAACUUCGUUCCCUCCCGAGCGGAUCCUGAGUACGGCGGGACACGGGAAAUCCCGUCGGAAGCAGGGUGGACCAUCUCCCAAGGCUAAAUACUCCCUAGUGACCGAUAGUGCACCAGUACCGUGAGGGAAAGGUGAAAAGCACCCCGGAAGGGGAGUGAAAGAGAACCUGAAACCGUGUGCCUACAAGUAGUCAGAGCGCGUUCAUGCGUGAUGGCGUGCCUUUUGUAGAAUGAACCGGCGAGUGACGAUGGCGUGCGAGGUUAAGCCGAAGAGGCGGAGCCGCAGCG
rnacentral:rRNA from 1 species